AUGCGACAACUCAUCUGGCCGGAGGAGAACAUGGCAGCGGUAUCUCCUGGUGACGGCGGUGGGGCAGGCAAUGCUUCAAGGCGACGGGCUGAGGCGGCGGUGCAGGGAUCCGCUCGGUCUGUUGUUGUUGCUGAGGGCGGAUGGAGCAGCCGGGGCAGGUUCGUCCGUGAUGCCAAGAAGGGAUUUGAGAUGGCGCCCGACAUUAUAGUAAGUACAAGACUGUUGCUGAAUGAGUGGUGUGUGCAACCAGACCUCCGUCCACUUGUUUCAUCGUUUGAACAUUCACCGGUUCUUGAGAAUCUGACGCUUCAAUUGCGUAAGGUACAACUAAGCCUAACUCAUCUGGUUCCUGAACCUCUCCACCAACUUCUUUCAAGGGGAGAUCCUGAAUGUCGGCAUCCUUGGACCUUCGAAAGCAGUUCUUCAUUGAGGAGCUCAAAGGUCGUGACUGUGACUGUUCUUAGGCCAAUACUUUCAUUUGUUGUUAUAACAUUUGCAUCAUUCUUCACAAGUUGCGAAAUCAAGCAUGCUAACGGUGGCGAGCGAUUUGAGCGCCAAUGA
rnacentral:rRNA from 1 species